rnacentral:rRNA from 1 species
UAGGCGUAAAUGAUGCGAGUUAAGUGUGGGGGCAUCUACGAGAUGGCCCUGUGCUGUAGGGUAGCCGUUAAACUCGCUGCCUGGGGAGUACGGUCGCAAGGCUGAAACUUAAAGGAAUUGGCGGGGGGAGGCACCACAAGAGGUGGAGGCUGCGGUUCAAUUGGACUCAACGCCGGAAACUCAUCGGGAGCGACAGCAGUAUGAUUGCCAGGUUGAUGACCUUGCUUGACAAGCUGAGAGGUGGUGCAUGGCGUCAGUGACU